CGAAGGGUGCAAGCGUUAAUCGGAAUUACUGGGCGUAAAGCGUGCGUAGGUGGUUUCUUAAGUCUGCUGUGAAAGCCCUGGGCUCAACCUGGGAAUGGCGGUGGAUACUGAGGGGCUAGAGUGCGGUAGAGGAGGGUGGAAUUCCCGGUGUAGCGGUGAAAUGCGUAGAGAUCGGGAGGAACAUCAGUGGCGAAGGCGGCCCUCUGGACCAGCACUGACGCUGAGGCACGAAAGCGUGGGGAGCAAACAGGAUUAGAUACCCUGGUAGUCCACGCCCUAAACGAUGCGGACUGGACGUUGGGCACAAUUCGGUGCUCAGUGUCGAAGCUAACGCGUUAAGUCCGCCGCCUGGGGAGUACGCUCGCAAGAGUG
rnacentral:rRNA from 1 species